GAUGAACGCUGACAGAAUGCUUAACACAUGCAAGUCAACUUGAACUUCGGUUUGGGUGGCGGACGGGUGAGUAACGCGUAAAGAACUUGCCUCACAGUUAGGGACAACAUUUGGAAACGAAUGCUAAUACCUGAUAUUAUGAUUUUAGGGCAUCCUAGAAUUAUGAAAGCUAUAUGCGCUGUGAGAGAGCUUUGCGUCCCAUUAGCUAGUUGGAGAGGUAACGGCUCACCAAGGCGAUGAUGGGUAGCCGGCCUGAGAGGGUGAACGGCCACAAGGGGACUGAGACACGGCCCUUACUCCUACGGGAGGCAGCAGUGGGGAAUAUUGGACAAUGGACCAAGAGUCUUAUCCAGCAAUUCUGUGUGCACGAUGAAGUUUUUCGGAAUGUAAAGUGCUUUCAGUUGGGAAGAAAAAAAUGACGAUACCAACAGAAGAAGUGACGGCUAAAUACGUG
rnacentral:rRNA from 1 species